rnacentral:sRNA from 2 species
CGUGCGCACGCGCCGAAUCCCGUCAGGGAACCGGGGAACCACCACCUUGGGGUGAAUCGGGCGUAUACGGCCGUGGAGACACGGCGGUUAUACGCGCGUAGGAGACCUUCCUGCUCCGAACCCGUCAGCUAACCCGGUAGGCGGAGAAGGAAGGAAAG